rnacentral:rRNA from 1 species
UACGUAGGGUGCAAGCGUUAAUCGGAAUUACUGGGCGUAAAGCGUGCGCAGGCGGUUUUGUAAGUCUGAUGUGAAAUCCCCGGGCUCAACCUGGGAAUGGCAUCCGAUACGGCGGGACUGGAGUGUGGGAGAGGUUGGUGGAAUUCCCAGUGUAGAGGUGAAAUUCGUAGAUAUUGGGAAGAACACCGGUGGCGAAGGCGGCCAACUGGACCACAACUGACGCUGAGGCGCGAAAGCGUGGGGAGCAAACAGG